rnacentral:rRNA from 1 species
UACGUAGGGACCGAGCGUUGUCCGGAUUCAUUGGGCGUAAAGAGCUCGUAGGCGGCCACUCAAGUCGAAUGUGAAACCUCGAGGCUUAACCUCGAGCCUGCAUUCGAUACUGGGCGGCUAGAGUCUGGUAGGGGGAUCUGGAAUUCCUGGUGUAGCGGUGGAAUGCGCAGAUAUCAGGAGGAACACCGGUGGCGAAGGCGGGAUCCUGGGCCAGUACUGACGCUGAGGCGCGAAAGCCAGGGGAGCGAACAGG